rnacentral:rRNA from 1 species
UACGUAGGGGGCAAGCGUUGUCCGGAUUUAUUGGGCGUAAAGCGCGUGUAGGCGGCUUCUUAAGUCCGAUGUGAAAACUCUCGGCUCAACUGGGAGACUGCAUUGGAAACUGGGAGGCUGGAGUGCAGGAGAGGGAAGUGGAAUUCCUAGUGUAGCGGUGAAAUGCGCAGAUAUUAGGAGGAACACCAGUGGCGAAGGCGGCUUCCUGGACUGCAACUGACGCUGAGACGCGAAAGCUAGGGGAGCAAAC